rnacentral:SRP_RNA from 1 species
GGGCAAGUCUUAUACGACCAGCUCCUUUUGAAACUCCCCAGGGUAGGAAUACAGCAAGGAUAAAAGGUUGAGCGGUGCGAUGUGAGUAACUUGCCCUUU